rnacentral:rRNA from 1 species
AGAGUUUGAUCCUGGCUCAGAGCGAACGCUGGCGGCAGGCCUAACACAUGCAAGUCGAACGAACUCUUCGGAGUUAGUGGCGGACGGGUGAGUAACACGUGGGAACGUGCCUUUAGGUUCGGAAUAACUCAGGGAAACUUGUGCUAAUACCGAAUGUGCCCUUCGGGGGAAAGAUUUAUCGCCUUUAGAGCGGCCCGCGUCUGAUUAGCUAGUUGGUGAGGUAAAGGCUCACCAAGGCGACGAUCAGUAGCUGGUCUGAGAGGAUGAUCAGCCACAUUGGGACUGAGACACGGCCCAAACUCCUACGGGAGGCAGCAGUGGGGAAUCUUGCGCAAUGGGCGAAAGCCUGACGCAGCCAUGCCGCGUGAAUGAUGAAGGUCUUAGGAUUGUAAAAUUCUUUCACCGGGGACGAUAAUGACGGUACCCGGAGAAGAAGCCCCGGCUAACUUCGUGCCAGCAGCCGCGGUAAUACGAAGGGGGCUAGCGUUGCUCGGAAUUACUGGGCGUAAAGGGAGCGUAGGCGGACAUUUAAGUCAGGGGUGAAAUCCCGGGGCUCAACCUCGGAAUUGCCUUUGAUACUGGGUGUCUUGAGUAUGAGAGAGGUGUGUGGAACUCCGAGUGUAGAGGUGAAAUUCGUAGAUAUUCGGAAGAACACCAGUGGCGAAGGCGACACACUGGCUCAUUACUGACGCUGAGGCUCGAAAGCGUGGGGAGCAAACAGAAUUAGAUACCCUGGUAGUCC